AGUUGCCAUCAUUCAUUGGGCACUCUAAAGAGACUGCCGGUGUCAAACCGGAGGAAGGUGGGGAUGACGUCAAGUCCUCAUGGCCUUUAUGACCAGGGCUACACACGUACUACAAUGGCCGGUACAAAGGGCAGCCACUUAGCGAUAAGGAGCCAAUCCCGUAAAGCCGGUCUCAGUCCGGAUUGGAGUCUGCAACUCGACUCCAUGAAGUUGGAAUCGCUAGUAAUCGCAGAUCAGCACGCUGCGGUGAAUACGUUCCCGGGCCUU
rnacentral:rRNA from 1 species